rnacentral:misc_RNA from 1 species
UGGGCUUGACAUGCAGGGUGAAACCCGCUUUCACGGGUUUCACCCUGCAUGUCAAGCCCAGGUAAGGUUCUUCGCGUUGCAUCGAAUUAAGCCGCAUGCUCCGCCGCUUGUGCGGGCCCCCGUCAAUUCCUUUGAGUUUUAGCCUUGCGGCCGUACUCCCCAGGCGGGGUGCUUAAUGCGUUAGCUUCGGCACGGACGGGGUUGAUAUCCGCCCACACCUAGCACCCAACGUUUACGGCUAGGACUAC